rnacentral:misc_RNA from 1 species
CCGAAUGUUACCAAACAACCACUGUGAACCGUCCUCUUUAGCUGCUUCGGCGGGCGAUCCCAGGGCGGGAUCCCAGGCUCCUUACGGGGUGCUCGCCGGCGGCCACUUUCUAGCUCUGUUUCUAGCGGGCUUCUGAGUGUAAACAAAAUAAUCA